AUCAACUUUUCUAUAUUUUGACCAUGGGUUCCUACCGAUGAUAGAACUGUGUUGGUAAAUUUAGAUCUUCCAAGAGUUGAACCUCCCGAAAUAUCCAAAAUACUUAUACUGAGACAUUUCUGGAGUAGGUCAUGUAUUGUCUCAUCACAAAUUAUAUGAGUACCAGUGAGGUAAACUUCCCGGAGGUCGGCACAAUAGUCUGCAAUUUGCUUUACGGAGUCGCCAUC
rnacentral:lncRNA from 1 species